GUCAAUGGCCAUACCAUCCUGAAUGGGCUCGAUCUUGUCUGAUCUUGAAAGCUAAGCAGGGUUGGGCCUGGUUAGUACUUGUGAUAUGGGAGAACACCUAGGACUACCAGGUGCUGUAGAAA
rnacentral:rRNA from 1 species